CAGAUGCGCCGCGGUGAUGGCCGCACCUGAUUCCCCUGCGUGUAACAAAUCGAGGUAUUCGAGCGCCGCUUGUGCCACUGCUGGAAGCGCGGAUCGCUCGGAUGGAUUAGUCGGGGGCACAGAAGGCGUGUGGACGGGAAUGUCCACGAUUCGUUGGGACAGCGUCGCUACGGGCGGCUCGGGCUGAAUGCGGUGCGUAAGAACGGUUGGCGCUCCGGCGUCAUCCCAUCGCU
rnacentral:misc_RNA from 1 species